UUAUGAUGAUUGAUUUUGGCGGAAGAGUUCUUGAAGACUAAAUUCAUCACCCAAGACUGA
rnacentral:snoRNA from 1 species